CCUACGGGGGGCUGCAGUGGGGAAUAUUGGACAAUGGGGGGAACCCUGAUCCAGCCAUGCCGCGUGUGUGAAGAAGGCCCUCGGGUUGUAAAGCACUUUCAGUGAGGAAGAACGCCUGGUGGUUAAUACCCAUCAGGAAAGACAUCACUCACAGAAGAAGCACCGGCUACUCCGUGCCAGCAGCCGCGGUAAUACGGAGGGUGCGAGCGUUAAUCGGAAUUACUGGGCGUAAAGCGCGCGUAGGUGGCUUGAUAAGCCGGUUGUGAAAGCCCCGGGCUCAACCUGGGAACGGCAUCCGGAACUGUCAAGCUAGAGUGCAGGAGAGGAAGGUAGAAUUCCCGGUGUAGCGGUGAAAUGCGUAGAGAUCGGGAGGAAUACCAGUGGCGAAGGCGGCCUUCUGGACUGACACUGACACUGAGGUGCGAAAGCGUGGGUAGCAAACAGGAUUAGAUACCCGAGUAGUC
rnacentral:rRNA from 1 species